rnacentral:rRNA from 1 species
GAUGAACGCUGGCGGCGUGCCUAAUACAUGCAAGUCGAGCGAACAGAUAAGGAGCUUGCUCCUUUGACGUUAGCGGCGGACGGGUGAGUAACACGUGGGUAACCUACCUAUAAGACUGGGAUAACUUCGGGAAACCGGAGCUAAUACCGGAUAACAUUUGGAACCGCAUGGUUCUAAAGUGAAAGAUGGUUUUGCUAUAACUUAUAGAUGGACCCGCGCCGUAGUAGCUAGUUGGUAAGGUAACGGCUUACCAAGGCGACGAUACGUAGCCGACCUGAGAGGGUGAUCGGCCACACUGGAACUGAGACACGGUCCAGACUCCUACGGGAGGCAGCAGUAGGGAAUCUUCCGCAAUGGGCGCAAGCCUGACGGAGCAACGCCGCGUGAGUGAUGAAGGGUUUCGGCUCGUAAAACUCUGUUAUUAGGGAAGAACAAAUGUGUAAGUAACUGUGCACGUCUUGACGGUACCUAAUCAGAAAGCCACGGCUAACUACGUGCCAGCCGCCGCGGUAA